rnacentral:snRNA from 1 species
GGAUGUGAGGACAAUCUGGCUGGGACAUCUGACACCCCACUGAUCACCAGGGAUGAUUCAGCUGAUCUGGCUGGCUAAGUGGGUGUCCUUCCUUCCUCCAGAAGCUGCACACUCCAUGUAUGUCCAUUUAGAAGCUGGAUCAAAGAGGAUGACCAUCCCCAAUAGAGGAGGACCAUUCUUCAGUCAAAGGUAUACUUGUAGCUGUGCUCCCCUGCUAGAACUUCCAAACUCUCAAAUUUCUCCUUUCAUAUAAGUCUUUGGAUUAGGGUCCAAUGUAGUAUAAAAUCAACUUAACUUGAAUAUCUGCAAAGACCCUAUUCC